CUACUGUGGUGUACAUAUGCCAGGAAUCACACCAUAGCCGGAGUCGAUCGAGUGAGGAUAAACCUACCUACCUUGGGGAAGGGCCAGAUCUUGAUGUAGAAAGGAGCUCUCAAGCUGAGGCGGAGAAGAAAGCUUACGAUUCUGUUGGUGUUCAGUGAGCUCUAACAAUCGAAGCGGCUAAAGGAGCCUGCUUUGGUGACCCUACGAGGAAGUGUUGCUCAUUAAAGUCAGCUUCAAACUUCCGGUAACCACUUAUCCCAAGAUAGG
rnacentral:lncRNA from 1 species